rnacentral:rRNA from 1 species
AUGAACCUCAUGAGAGUUUUUCUCUUUUACAAACAAAAAAUACAACCAUUUAUGGACUUCAUGGUCAAUGUUAGUUUUUGCACGUGGCAAGAUAGUGCACUUCCGGAAAGAAAAAGACAGGGGGGCGGUGAACAAGUGAACGACACACAUUUAAAAAAUGAACAACUUUUAAUAUUUUUGCAGCCAACAUAUUUUGUAUAUGCAUAUUUUAUGCACAAAGUUUUCACGACCGAACUGCUCUGUCACCCCUGCACGCACUGCAUGAAGACAACAAACGAUGCAAAAGGCUGUACAUACAGGAACCGACUAACUGCAGAAACUCUUUUCCUAAAGGGAUACAGUAAUGCAAGUUUGCAACGCUCUUACUACUGA